rnacentral:rRNA from 1 species
GAGCGGUAAGGCCCUUCGGGGUACACGAGCGGCGAACGGGUGAGUAACACGUGGGUGAUCUGCCUCGUACUUCGGGAUAAGCCUGGGAAACUGGGUCUAAUACCGGAUAUGACCUUCGGAUGCAUGUCUGAGGGUGGAAAGAUUUAUCGGUACGAGAUGGGCCCGCGGCCUAUCAGCUUGUUGGUGGGGUAAUGGCCUACCAAGGCGACGACGGGUAGCCGGCCUGAGAGGGCGACCGGCCACACUGGGACUGAGACACGGCCCAGACUCCUACGGGAGGCAGCAGUGGGGAAUAUUGCACAAUGGGCGAAAGCCUGAUGCAGCGACGCCGCGUGAGGGAUGACGGCCUUCGGGUUGUAAACCUCUUUCGACAGGGACGAAGCGCAAGUGACGGUACCUGUAGAAGAAGCACCGGCCAACUACGUGCCAGCAGCCGCGGUAAUACGUAGGGUGCGAGCGUUGUCCGGAAUUACUGGGCGUAAAGAGCUUGUAGGCGGUUCGUCGCGUCGUUCGUGAAAACUUGGGGCUCAACCCCAAGCUUGCGGGCGAUACGGGCGGACUAGAGUACUUCAGGGGAGACUGGAAUUCCUGGUGUAGCGGUGAAAUGCGCAGAUAUCAGGAGGAACACCGGUGGCGAAGGCGGGUCUCUGGGAAGUAACUGACGCUGAGAAGCGAAAGCGUGGGUAGCGAACAGGAUUAGAUACCCUGGUAGUCCACGCCGUAAACGGUGGGUACUAGGUGU